AAUACGUUCCCGGCCUUGUACACACCGCCCGUCACACCACGAAAGUCGGCAACACCCGAAGCCGGUGGCCCAACCCGCAAGGGGGGGAGCCGUCGAAGGUGGGGUCGGUGAUUGGGGUG
rnacentral:rRNA from 1 species